GACGAACGCUGGCGGCGUGCUUAACACAUGCAAGUCGAACGGACAGGCCCCGCUUUUUGGGGGUGCUCGAGGUGAGCACGGGUGGAUAACACGGGGAUAAACCGCCCCUCUCUUUGGGGAUACUUGCGGAAAAGGGCGGAUAUCACGGAGAGGCGCGCCUGGUCCGUGGGGGGGUGGGGGGGUUUUUGGCAUUUGGGGGUGGUCCGGGGGGGGAUGGGCUUGCGGGUGGUGAGCUGGUUGGCGAGGUAGUGGCUGGCUAAGGCGAUGACGGGUGGCCGGCCUGAGAGGGUGACCGGCCAAAGUGGGACUGAGAUACGGCCCAGACUACUACGGGAGGCAGCAGUGGGGAAUAUUGCACAAUGGGCGGAAGCCUGAUGCAGCAACGCCGCGUGGGGGAUGACGGCCCUCGGGUUGUAAACCACUUUCGCGUGUGAAGAAGCGGGAGUGACGGUAACGGGAGAAGAAGCACCGGCUAACUACGUG
rnacentral:rRNA from 1 species